rnacentral:rRNA from 1 species
UACGUAGGGUGCAAGCGUUGUCCGGAAUUAUUGGGCGUAAAGAGCUCGUAGGCGGUCUGUCGCGUCUGCUGUGAAAACUCGGGGCUUAACCCCGGGCCUGCAGUGGGUACGGGCAGACUAGAGUGAUGUAGGGGAGACUGGAAUUCCUGGUGUAGCGGUGAAAUGCGCAGAUAUCAGGAGGAACACCGAUGGCGAAGGCAGGUCUCUGGGCAUUAACUGACGCUGAGGAGCGAAGGCAUGGGGAGCGAACAGG